rnacentral:rRNA from 1 species
AUUGAACUCUGGCGGCAGGCUUAACACAUGCAAGUCGAGCGAGCGGCGGACGGGUGAGUAAUUUCUGGGAAACUGCCUGAUGGAGGGGGAUAACUACUGGAAACGGUCGCUAAUACCGCAUACCAUCAGAUGUGCCCAGAUGGGCUUUGCUAGUAGGUGGGGUAAUGGCUCACCUAGGCGACGAUCCCUAGCUGGUCUGCGAGGCUGACCAGCAACACGUGAACGUAGACACGGUCCAGACUACUACGGGAGGCAUCAGUGGGUAUUAUUGGACAAGGGGGGCAAGCCUGAUGCAGCCAUGCGGCGGGUGUGAAGAAGGCCCUCGGGUUGUAAAGCACUUUCAGCGAGGAGGCGUUACUCGCAGAAGAAGCACCGGCUAACUCCGUGACAGCAGCCGCGGUAAUAC